ACAUAGGGUGCAAGCGUUGUCCGGAAUUACUGGGCGUAAAGCGUGCGCAGGCGGUUAUAUAAGUCAGAUGUGAAAUCCCCGGGCUCAACCUGGGAACUGCAUUUGAGACUGUAUAGCUAGAGUACGGUAGAGGGGGAUGGAAUUCCGCGUGUAGCAGUGAAAUGCGUAGAUAUGCGGAGGAACACCGAUGGCGAAGGCAAUCCCCUGGACCUGUACUGACGCUCAUGCACGAAAGCGUGGGGAGCAAACAGG
rnacentral:rRNA from 1 species